CCGGGUUGCGGACAGUGUCUGGUGGGUAGUUUGACUGGGGCGGUCUCCUCCUAAAGAGUAACGGAGGAGCACGAAGGUUGGCUAAUCCUGGUCGGACAUCAGGAGGUUAGUGCAAUGGCAUAAGCCAGCUUGACUGCGAGCGUGACGGCGCGAGCAGGUGCGAAAGCAGGUCAUAGUGAUCCGGUGGUUCUGAAUGGAAGGGCCAUCGCUCAACGGAUAAAAGGUACUCCGGGGAUAACAGGC
rnacentral:rRNA from 1 species